rnacentral:rRNA from 1 species
GACGGACGCUGGCGGCGUGCUUAACACAUGCAAGUCGAACGGAAAGGCCCCAGCUUGCUGGGGUACUCGAGUGGCGAACGGGUGAGUAACACGUGGGUGAUCUGCCCUGCACUCUGGGAUAAGCCCGGGAAACUGGGUCUAAUACCGGAUAGGACCGUGCUUUAGUGUGUGCGGUGGAAAGUUUUUCGGUGCAGGAUGAGCCCGCGGCCUAUCAGCUUGUUGGUGGGGUAAUGGCCUACCAAGGCGGCGACGGGUAGCCGGCCUGAGAGGGUGUACGGCCACAUUGGGACUGAGACACGGCCCAGACUCCUACGGGAGGCAGCAGUGGGGAAUAUUGCACAAUGGGCGCAAGCCUGAUGCAGCGACGCCGCGUGGGGGAUGACGGCCUUCGGGUUGUAAACCCCUUUCGGCAGGGACGAAGCUUUUGUGACGGUACCUGCAUAAGAAGCACCGGCUAACUACGUG